UUGAAACUACAAAAAUUUUGGCCACACAUUUUAAACAUGGAAUGAUGAGCAAUGCGUUCAGAAGAAUUCAAAUUUCAACCUUAUUAAGAUUUAAUCCACAACGGUACAACCACAUAAGAAUUCUUGUGAGACAUAAUCUACAGGCUGUUUUGAUUCAUGUUGAUCAACUUAACUACACCUACGGUAACACUUGACCAAGAAACUAAAAACCUUGCUGCCGUUAAAAGUUCCUAAUCCCAAUACAAGCUGCAAUACCGGUGUCAACAAAUGAAAAAGAAAAUUAAAGCAAGGAAAUUUCAAGUGAAAAUAGAAGAUUACACAGGCAGAAUACAAAACAUUUCACAAAUGAAGUUCACCUGAAUUACAGAUGAGCCUCCAUAAAAGGUACCGGCUUCUCUUCAAGCACAGAGCUCUGCAGAACCUCUUGGACUAUUGAUCCCUCCACCUUGGACUUGAGAGAGGGAAAAAACCUGUUGGUGAUAAUGGAAACACAAGGCCUGGUGAGGGUGGAGGUUGAGGCCCUGGACCUAAAAUCCCCGACUGUGGAAAUGCAAAAUUUGGUGUCAACGGUGGAGGAAACUGAACCCCAGGAGAAAACAACGGAUAAGGAGACCGCGGAGACAACAAAUUCAUGAAACCAGUAGGCGAUGGUAAAAGGAAUUGAGAUGUGGGUGAAGGUAAAAGGGCAGGGCCACUCAUUUGUUGGGAGAGGAGAUUAGGCACAGGGGGAACGGGACCAUUUAAUCUUGGUGACGGUAGUGCAGGCACAUGUGGAUUAGGAAGUAAACCAGAAGAUUGCUGAGGCUGAAUUUGCCCUGGACCUUGUGCUUGCUGUUGUUGUAAUGGUGGAUGAGCUAAGUUCGUCCUCGGACUAGGAUCCAUUAUUGAAGUUUGAAGAUAUCGCAUGUAAGCUGAGAUUGGAGACUCGGCUGUAUUUGCCCAAGCAUAGUCCCCAGACGCUGUUGGAGCUGGGUGUCCAAAUGGGCCAGGCCUAACAAAGCCAUUGUUAAAAGGAACUGGGGGUGAUGCCAGUGCUGGAGCCGGCACAGGAGGGGGAAUAUGGGGCCGAUUGAUGGGAGUUAAAGGGGGUGGUCUAAUCUUCUGCAACCGCAUACUUUGGGGUUUGGGUGGAUUUUGUGGAGGUCUAGGCAAAGGCUCUUGCGAUGGAGAACCAGUUAGUUGCUGAACAAUAUUCCUAAAAUCGUUCUUGCUUAUGUUGUAGACUUGAGGCUGAGGUUGUUGCCUAUUGGCAUUGUUAGCAAAAUUGGGUUGGUGCAACGGGCUUUUCCUUAUAUUCUUGCCCAUCUUGUUGACACCCAAAUGAUCAUUCUGCUGCCUGUUUUUUGAGUUAUCCAUACUUGAUAACCCAAUAUAAGCUCACUCCAAAAAAAAAACCCAAAACACCAAUUUUUCAGAAAACCAACCAGUCAAACCAUCCAAAAGCCCCGCAAAACAAAAUUCAGAACUUAAUAGAAAUCCCAGCUCAAGCACUAAUUGUCUCCACACUCAACUUGAAUAAACUAGAUACUAUACUGUAUUGAAGUACCACCAAGAAAGCUUCAAUUUAACACCAGUACUGCAGAAUUAAGCUCCAAAAAACCAACAGAUAAUAAAAUCCCACCACAAAAGGCAACAAAAGCAAAUCCUAAAGCAGAUAUUCAAUAAGCAAAGAACUUUUGGCUUCAAUCCAAAAUUUCAACCUGAAAAUUUGCUAGAAAAACAUCUCAAAUCUAAAGGUCUAAAUUAAAUACAUAACCAAACAACAGAACCCAAAUCUCCCUGUAUAACCCUUGUCCCAAAAGCACAAAUCUCCCAGCAAAAUCGAUGGUAAAUAAACUCGAAAUAGAAGCAGCAAGUAUAAAUCUAACAAUUCAAAGAAAAACCCCUAACUAUAAUAUGAUAACCGUUGUUCAGAUAGAGUAUAGAAGAAAACGAAAGAGUAAACGCAGAUGAAGGAAUAACAAAAAAACAAAUAAGAGAGAGAGAGAGAGAGA
rnacentral:misc_RNA from 1 species